AUCGAACGCUGGCGGCAAGCCUAACACAUGCAAGUCGAACGAGUGGCGGACGGGUGAGUAAUGUCUGGGAAACUGCCUGAUGGAGGGGGAUAACUACUGGAAACGGUGGCUAAUACCGCAUACCAUCGGAUGUGCCCAGAUGGGAUUAGCUAGUAGGUGGGGUAAAGGCUCACCUAGGCGACGAUCCCUAGCUGGUCUGAGAGGAUGCUCAGCCCCAGUUGAACUGAGACACGGUCCAGACUCCUACGGGAGGCAGCGGUGGGGAAUAUGGCACAAUGGGCGCAAGCCUGAUGCAGCCAUGCCGCGUGUAUGAAUAAGGCCUUCGGGUUGUAAAGUACUUUCAGCGGGGAGGCGUUACCCGCAGAAGAAGCACCGGCUAACUCCGUGCCAGCAGCCGCGGUAAUUC
rnacentral:rRNA from 1 species